GAUGGAGCAAUAGAGACCAGAUGUACCUUUCCCACCUGAAACAACUAAAAAGACAAGACAAAAUGUAUUAAAGAAUGGUUCUUGAGACACUGGACACUACACAGUGAAGAACAGUGAUCCCUGAGAGAUGAGAACCAAAUAAGAUCUUGGAAUGCUCCAGUCUUUUUGCAAAGUCGAUGAGUGGCUUCAGCCCUGGGGAAGAAGCCCGAAAGGUGACCAGAUGGAACCUGCAUUCACAGUCUUCAAAGUUCCCUUUUGAAACAUAAGGAAGAGAAUGAAGGGGAGAAGGAUUUCACACUUUCGGGCUUACAAUCUGAAGGUGUCCGUUCCUACACUGGUCAGACCACUGUCCUUGGGGCAGCUGGGGUCUUUGGGACCCUCCACCGGGCUCGCCGGUCCGUCGGACUUUUGGCUGAGAUCCGUGUCAGACUCCUCCGAAUAGUCGUCUGUUGGCAUCGAGGGCUGAACCCCUGAGGUGCUGCAUGAACUUGAGAGCGCGCUCUCGCACGCCAGGCAGUGGUACGAGCCGCCACCGCCGCCGCCGCCGCCGCCGCCGCCGCCGCCCGUGGGGACGUGAAGCACCAUCUCUUGCAGGUUCACCACAGACUGGCC